rnacentral:misc_RNA from 1 species
ACAAACUUGGUCAUUUAGAGGAAGUAAAAGUCGUAACAAGGUUUCCGUAGGUGAACCUGCGGAAGGAUCAUUCACAAUAAGAGUGUUUAUGGCACUCUUCCAAAAAUCCAUACCCACCUUGUGUGCAGCGUAAGAAGAAAAAAGACGCGAGUCAAUGGGGGACCAAGCUGGCAACAGCAAAAGAAGCCCAAGUCUUGCCCUUUUUUCUUUUCCACAUACACCUUUCUAUAAGUUCCUAUUGUCUGAAGCUGUUAGAGAAUGACUAAUUCUUAAACAUAACUUUCAACAACGGAUCUCUUGGCUCUCGCAUCGAUGAAGAACGCAGC